AGAGUUUGAUCCUGGCUCAGGACGAACGCUGGCGGCGUGCUUAACACAUGCAAGUCGAGGGGGGUGGGGCAACCCACUCACCGGCGAACGGGUGCGUAACACGUGAGCGACUGGUCCUACAGGUGGGGGAUAGCCGGCCCAACGGCCGGGUAAUACCGCAUACGUUCCCUUGGGGGCAUCCCUGGGGGAGGAAAGCCUAUAUGGCGCCUGAGGACGAGCUCGCGGCGGAUUAGCUUGUUGGCGGGGUAACGGCCCACCAAGGCGACGAUCCGUAGCUGGUCUGAGAGGACGAUCAGCCACACUGGGACUGAGACACGGCCCAGACUCCUACGGGAGGCAGCAGUGGGGAAUCUUGCGCAAUGGGCGAAAGCCUGACGCAGCGACGCCGCGUGAGGGAAGAAGGCCUUCGGGUUGUAAACCUCUUUCAGGAGGGACGAAGCCACUCGGGUUAAUAGCCCAGAGGGUGACGGUACCUCCAGAAGAAGCCCCGGCUAACUACGUGCCAGCCGCCGCGGUAAUAC
rnacentral:rRNA from 1 species